rnacentral:rRNA from 1 species
CCUACGGGGGGCAGCAGUGGGGAAUAUUGGACAAUGGGCGAAAGCCUGAUCCAGCCAUGCCGCGUGUGUGAAGAAGGCCUUCGGGUUGUAAAGCACUUUCAGUGGGGAAGAAAGCCUUGGGGCUAAUACCCUCGAGGAAGGACAUCACCCACAGAAGAAGCACCGGCUAACUCCGUGCCAGCAGCCGCGGUAAUACGGAGGGUGCGAGCGUUAAUCGGAAUUACUGGGCGUAAAGCGCGCGUAGGCGGUCUGAUAAGCCGGUUGUGAAAGCCCCGGGCUCAACCUGGGAACGGCAUCCGGAACGGUCAGGCUAGAGUGCAGGAGAGGAAGGUAGAAUUCCCGGUGUAGCGGUGAAAUGCGUAGAGAUCGGGAGGAAUAACAGUGGCGAAGGCGGCCUUCUGGACUGACACUGACGCUGAGGUGCGAAAGCGUGGGUAGCAAACAGGAUUAGAUACCCCGGUAGUC